GUCGAGAAUUUUUCUCAAUGGGGGCAACCCUGAAGGAGCGACGCCGCGUGGAGGAUGAAGGCUUUCGGGUUGUAAACUCCUGUCAUUUGAGAACAAGUGUAGCUAAGUAACUACUGGCUACUUGAUAGUAUCAGAAGAGGAAGAGACGGCUAACUCUGUGCCAGCAGCCGCGGUAAUACAGAGGUCUCAAGCGUUGUUCGGAUUCAUUGGGCGUAAAGGGUGCGUAGGUGGCGGGGUAAGUCAGGUGUGAAAUUUCGGAGCUUAACUCCGAAACUGCAUUUGAUACUGCCUUGCUUGAGGACUGGAGAGGAGACUGGAAUUCACGGUGUAGCAGUGAAAUGCGUAGAGAUCGUGAGGAAGACCAGUGGCGAAGGCGGGUCUCUGGACAGUUCCUGACACUGAGGCACGAAGGCCAGGGGAGCAAACGGGAUUAGAUACCCGGGUAGUCC
rnacentral:rRNA from 1 species